rnacentral:rRNA from 1 species
UGAUCCGCCACAUUGGGACUGAGACACGGCCCAAACUCCUACGGGAGGCAGCAGUGGGGAAUUUUGGACAAUGGGGGCAACCCUGAUCCAGCCAUGCCGCGUGUAUGAAGAAGGCCUUCGGGUUGUAAAGUACUUUUGUCGGGGAAGAAAAGGUUAGUGUUAAUACCACUGACUGAUGACGGUACCCGAAGAAUAAGCACCGGCUAACUACGUGCCAGCAGCCGCGGUAAUACGUAGGGUGCAAGCGUUAAUCGGAAUUACUGGGCGUAAAGCGGGCGCAGACGGUUACAUAAGUCAGGUGUGAAAUCCCCGAGCUCAACUUGGGAAUGGCGCUUGAAACUGUGUAGCUAGAGUGUGUCAGAGGGAGGUAGAAUUCCGCGUGUAGCAGUGAAAUGCGUAGAGAUGCGGAGGAAUACCGAUGGCGAAGGCAGCCUCCUGGGAUAACACUGACGUUCAUGCCCGAAAGCGUGGGUAGCAAACAGGAUUAGAUACCCUGGUAGUCCACGCCCUAAACGAUGACAAUUAGCUGUUGGUGUGCUUGCCACAUUAGUAGCGAAGCUAACGCGUGAAAUUGUCCGCCUGGGGAGUACGGUCGCAAGAUUAAAACUCAAAGGAAUUGACGGGGACCCGCACAAGCGGUGGAUGAUGUGGAUUAAUUCGAUGCAACGCGAAGAACCUUACCUGGUCUUGACAUGUACGGAAUCUUUCAGAGACGGAAGAGUGCCUUCGGGAGCCGUAACACAGGUGCUGCAUGGCUGUCGUCAGCUCGUGUCGUGAGAUGUUGGGUUAAGUCCCGCAACGAGCGCAACCCUUGUCAUUAGUUGCCAUCAUUUGGUUGGGCACUCUAAUGAGACUGCCGGUGACAAACCGGAGGAAGGUGGGGAUGACGUCAAGUCCUCAUGGCCCUUAUGACCAGGGCUUCACACGUCAUACAAUGGUCGGUACAGAGGGUAGCCAAGCCGCGAGGCGGAGCCAAUCUCAGAAAGCCGAUCGUAGUCCGGAUUGCACUCUGCAACUCGAGUGCAUGAAGUCGGAAUCGCUAGUAAUCGCAGGUCAGCAUACUGCGGUGAAUACGUUCCCGGGUCUUGUACACACCGCCCGUCACACCAUGGGAGUGGGGGAUACCAGAAUUGGGUAGGCUAACCGCAAGGAGGCCGCUUAACACGGUAUGCUUCAUGACUGGGGUGAAGUCGUAACAAGGUAGCCGUAGGGGAACCUGCGGCUG